AUUACGCUUGAUUGCCAUUGACAGCUUGAUGUAAGUCAGGUGAAGGAAGAAUGCUUUUGAGUACCUAAUAGGUGGCAAGCUCUGUGCCUACUUACAUACAUGAACUAUUCCUUUUAAUAACCUUUGGAAAUAAAGUGGCAUUUCCAUUGGGCAUUAGAAAUCUGAAGACUUUCGUUUACAGCUGUUGCAACAGCAGAACUAGAAUUCGACCUCCGACAUUUCUGCUCACCAGAGGGCAUGAACUGCUGGUGAACAAAUAGAAGCUGAGGGUGAAGGACCUACAGCUGUCACCUUCAUCUCUUCUCAACACUGCCAACUGUCCCCUUGGAUUUCCCAGACAGACAACAAGGGACAUCUCUGGUUUCUCGGUGCCCCCUAGAAACCUCGGGUCAUUUCAAGGCAUUAUGCAAAUGAGAAGCUUUCCUUCUCUUCACCUCAUCUCCUGAUCUGCACAAAAGUGACUGUAGGACCCAGUGUUGUAGAUGAGCAUGAGAGUGUGGAGCAGAGUUGGCGAGUGCAAGUCGAGCCCAUCAACCUGGACAGCUGUCUCCGUGCUUUCACCAGUGAGGAAGAGCUAGGGGAAGAUGA
rnacentral:lncRNA from 1 species